rnacentral:rRNA from 1 species
AGUGUAACCUGCCAGACAGGGAAACUGCGUACGGCUCAUUACACCAGCUGUAAUUUACUUGACCUUGACAACGCUCUUGGAUAACUGUGGUAAAUCUAGAGCUAAUACAUGCACCAAAACUCCGAUCACCCAAGAGAGGAGUGCAUUUGUUCGCCACAAAAGCUAAAGCCCUCAGGGCGUCACACAGUGCUGACCCAGAACAACUCAGCUGAUCGCACGGUCUUGCACCGGCGACGUGUCUUUCAAGUGUCUGCCUUAUCAACUUUCGAUGGUAGUGUACCUGACUACCAUGGUUGUGACGGGUAACGGAGGAUCAGGGUUCGACUCCGGAGAAGGGGCCUGAGAAAUGGCCACUACGUCUAAGGAUGGCAGCAGGCGCGCAAAUUACCCACUCUCGACUCGAGGAGGUAGUGACGAGAAAUAACAAGACCGUUCUCACAUGAGGCCGGUCAUUGGAAUGGGUACAAUUUAAACCCUUUAACGAGUAUCUAUGAGAGGGCAAGUCUGGUGCCAGCAGCCGCGGUAAUUCCAGCUCUCAAAAUGCAUAGAAUCAUUGCUGCGGUUAAAAAGCUCGUAGUUGGAUCUGUGCUGGCCGCCCGGUCUGCCCAUUGGGUAUGCACUGGAGCGGUCGGCUUUUGCUGCCGGUUUACGCCCGGCGUUGGCCUUCACCGGUCGGCGUCGGUGGGCCGGCGAGUUUACUUUGAACAAAUCAGAGUGCUUCAAACAGGCGUCUCGCCUGAAUGUUCGUGCAUGGAAUAAUGGAAGAGGAUCACGGUCCGAUUUUAUUGGUUUUGCUGACCGAGAUAAUGGUUAACAGAGACAAACGGGGCCAUUCGUAUUGCUGCGUGAGAGGUGAAAUUCUUGGACCGUAACCGCCCUAGUUCUGACCGUAAACGAUGCCAACUAGCGAUCCGCCGGCGGAUUCAUUCGCCCUGGUGGGGAGCUUCCCGGAAACGAAAGUCUUCCGGUUCCGGGGGAAGUAUGGUUGCAAAGCUGAAACUUAAAGGAAUUGACGGAAGGGCACCACCAGGAGUGGAGCCUGCGGCUUAAUUUGACUCAACACGGGGAAACUCACCCGGCCCGGACACCGUGAGGAUUGACAGAUUGAUAGCUUUUUCAUGAUUCGGUGGAUGGUGGUGCAUGGCCGUUCUUAGUUCGUGGAGCGAUUUGUCUGGUUUAUUCCGAUAACGAGCGAGACUCUGGCCUACUAAAUAGUUGGUGCAUUGCCUCUGUGCACACGACUUCUUAGAGGGAUUUUCGGUGUUCAGCCGCACGAAAUUGAGCAAUAACAGGUCUGUGAUGCCCUUAGAUGUCCGGGGCUGCACGCGCGCUACACUGGCAAAAUCAGCGUGCUUGUCCUCGCCCGAAAGGGCUUGGUAAACCCGUGAAAAUUUGCCGUGAUUGGGAUCGGACAUUGCAAUUAUUGUCCGUGAACGAGGAAUUCCUUGUAGGGGCGAGUCAUCAACUCGCUCUGAAUACGUCCCUGCCCUUUGUA